rnacentral:rRNA from 1 species
CCUACUGGCGGCCGCAGUGAGGAAUAUUGGUCAAUGGGCGCGAGCCUGAACCAGCCAAGUCGCGUGAGGGAAGACGGUCCUAUGGAUUGUAAACCUCUUUUGUCGGGGAGCAAAAGACGCCACGCGUGGCGUUCCGAGAGUACCCGAAGAAAAAGCAUCGGCUAACUCCGUGCCAGCAGCCGCGGUAAUACGGAGGAUGCGAGCGUUAUCCGGAAUGACUGGGCGUAAAGGGUGCGUAGGUGGUUUGACAAGUUAGUAGCGCAACUCCGGAGCUCAAAUUCGGAACUACUACUAAAACUGUUGGACUUGAGUGCAGGAGGGGAAAUCGGAAGUCCUAGGGUAGCGGUGGAAUGCGUAGAUAUUAGGAGGAACACCAGUGGCGAAGGCGGAUUGCUAGACUGUAACUGACACUGAGGCACGAAAGCGUGGGGAGCAAACAGGAUUAGAUACCCCUGUAGUC